UACAUGUGGGGCAAGCGUUGUUCGGAAUUACUGGGCAUAAAGGGUGCGUAGGCGGUUUGUUAAGUCACUGGUGAAAGUUUGCGGCCCAACCGUAAAAUUGCCUGUGAUACUGGCGAACUCGAGUGCGUGAGGGGUUGGGGGAACGAGCAGUGUAGCGGUGAAAUGCGUAGAUAUCAGGAGGAACACCUGUGGCGAAAGCGGCUCACUGGACCAUAACUGACGCUGAUGCACGAAAGCUAGGGGAGCAAACAGG
rnacentral:rRNA from 1 species